CCUACGGGUGGCAGCAGUGGGGAAUAUUGGACAAUGGGCGAAAGCCUGAUCCAGCCAUGCCGCGUGUGUGAAGAAGGCCUUCGGGUUGUAAAGCACUUUCAGUGGGGAAGAAAGCCUUGGGGCUAAUACCCUCGAGGAAGGACAUCACCCACAGAAGAAGCACCGGCUAACUCCGUGCCAGCAGCCGCGGUAAUACGGAGGGUGCGAGCGUUAAUCGGAAUUACUGGGCGUAAAGCGCGCGUAGGCGGUCUGAUAAGCCGGUUGUGAAAGCCCCGGGCUCAACCUGGGAACGGCAUCCGGUACUGUCAGGCUAGAGUGCAGGAGAGGAAGGUAGAAUUCCCGGUGUAGCGGUGAAAUGCGUAGAGAUCGGGAGGAAUACCAGUGGCGAAGGCAGCCUUCUGGACUGACACUGACGCUGAGGUGCGAAAGCGUGGGUAGCAAACAGGAUUAGAUACCCUGGUAGUC
rnacentral:rRNA from 1 species